rnacentral:rRNA from 1 species
GGAAGGAUCAUUAUUGAAAUAAACCUGAUGAGUUGCUGCUGGCUCUCUAGGGAGCAUGUGCACACUUGUCAUCUUUAUAUCUCCACCUGUGCACCUUUUGUAGACCUGGAUAUCUCUCUGAAUGUGCUAGCAUUCAGGUUUGAGGAUUGACCUUUUUUUGGGUCUCUCCUUACAUUUCCAGGCCUAUGUUUCUUCAUAUACACCUUGUAUGUUAUAGAAUGUAAUAAAUGGGCCUUUGUGCCUAUAAAACUAUACAACUUUCAGCAACGGAUCUCUUGGCUCUCGCAUCGAUGAAGAACGCAGCGAAAUGCGAUAAGUAAUGUGAAUUGCAGAAUUCAGUGAAUCAUCGAAUCUUUGAACGCACCUUGCGCUCCUUGGUAUUCCGAGGAGCAUGCCUGUUUGAGUGUCAUUAAUAUAUCAACCUCUUCAGCUUUUGCUUGUCGAGUGUUGGAUGUGGGGGUUUUUUCUUUGCUGGCCUCUUUUCUGAUGGUCAGCUCCCCUGAAAUGCAUUAGCGGAACAAUUUGUUGACCGUUCAUUUGUGUGAUAAUUAUCUACGCUAUUGACGGUGAAGCAAGUUCAGCUUCUAACAGUCCAUUGACUUGGACAAAUUUUCAUUAAUGUGACCUCAAAUCAGGUAGGACUACCCGCUGAACUUAAGCAUAUCAAUAAGCGGAGGAAAAGAAACUAACAAGGAUUCCCCUAGUAACUGCGAGUGAAGCGGGAAAAGCUCAAAUUUAAAAUCUGUCAGUCUUUGGCUGUCCGAGUUGUAAUCUAGAGAAGCGUUAUCCGCGUUGGACCGUGUACAAGUCUCCUGGAAUGGAGCGUCGUAGAGGGUGAGAAUCCCGUCUUUGACACGGACUGCCAGGGCUUUGUGAUGCGCUCUCAAAGAGUCGAGUUGUUUGGGAAUGCAGCUCAAAAUGGGUGGUAAAUUCCAUCUAAAGCUAAAUAUUGGC